CACGGACACUGAGGUGCGAAAGCGUGGGUAGCAAACAGGAUUAGAUACCCUGGUAGUCCACGCCGUAAACGAUGUCGACCAGCCGUUGGGUGCCUAGCGCACUUUGUGGCGAAGUUAACGCGAUAAGUCGACCGCCUGGGGAGUACGGCCGCAAGGUUAAAACUCAAAUGAAUUGACGGGGGCCCGCACAAGCGGUGGAGCAUGUGGCUUAAUUCGAUGCAACGCGAAGAACCUUACCUACUCUUGACAUCCUGCGAACUUGUGAGAGAUCACUUGGUGCCUUCGGGAGCGCAGAGACAGGUGCUGCGUGGCUGUCGUCAGCUCGUGUUGUGAAAUGUUGGGUUAAGUCCCGUAACGAGCGCAACCCUUGUCCUUAUUUGCCAGCGGGUAAUGCCGGGAACUCUAAGGAGACUGCCGGUGACAAACCGGAGGAAGGUGGGGACGACGUCAAGUCAUCAUGGCCCUUGCGAGUAGGGCUACACACGUGCUACAAUGGCCGGUACAAAGGGUUGCGAACUCGCGAGAGUCAGCUAAUCCCGAAAAGCCGGUCUCAGUCCGGAUCGGAGUCUGCAACUCGACUCCAUGAAGUCGGAAUCGCUAGUAAUCGUGGAUCAGAAUGCCACGGUGAAUACGUUCCCGGGCCUUGUACACACCGCCCGU
rnacentral:rRNA from 1 species